AACAAUAUCAUUAGAUCCCUUUCCUGUAUAUAGAUUGAAGAAACACAUGACUCCUCCUCUAACCACUACCGGAAGACUGAAAAACUAAGAGACUGUCACUAGGUAAGAUCUGGUCAAUCAAGAGAUUGAUACAAAAGAAUAAUAAACAAAUUCAUGGUCAAUUUAAAGUGCUGAAAUACCGAAGGAAGAGGUAGAGAGGAGGCUGAAUGUACAAAAAUAAUAAGAAGAGGUUAUUAUAAGGUAAAUAGGGUUUUACAAGAUGUUCGUGUAGCCAGAAGAUAUGUUAUUGUUACAGUUAUGUUGCUAAUAUUUUUAAUCCCAAAAUAAAUUUACACAGAAUCUUAAAAUUUUAUAGCUAUUAUACGUGUUAGAUUUGAGAAUAAUCAUGAUUAGACUUUGUUUGAAAAUUUGUUAUAAAAUUUCAUUGUUUUUAAGAAUUUUUUUAUCUUCUAAUAGUUUGUGACAAGUUUUCAUCAAAUAAUUAUAAUUAAAUAAAAGUUAAUAAAUUAAUAGAUUUUUGGGAGAAUAUCAAUUUUAACAAGUUUGAUACCAUUUUUCAAAUUUAUUUUUAAAAGAUAAUUAUUUUCAUAAAUACCUUAAAUUUGUGAUUAAAAUAAUUAUAUUAACUCUCAAAAAUUAUUUAUAAAUAAUUAAGAAUUUUAAAAAAAAAUACUAAUAGAAGUUUAUAAACCAAACCUAACCCCUAAAUACUAAACCCUAAACAAUAAUCACUAAAUCUUAAUUUCAAAUGUGAAGGUAUUUUGAUUAAGACUUACUUUAAACAAUUUCUCUAGAUUU
rnacentral:lncRNA from 1 species